rnacentral:rRNA from 1 species
UACGAAGGGGGCUAGCGUUGCUCGGAAUCACUGGGCGUAAAGCGCACGUAGGCGGAUUGUUAAGUCAGGGGUGAAAUCCUGGAGCUCAACUCCAGAACUGCCUUUGAUACUGGCGAUCUCGAGUCCGGGAGAGGUGAGUGGAACUGCGAGUGUAGAGGUGAAAUUCGUAGAUAUUCGCAAGAACACCAGUGGCUGAAGGCGGACUCACUGGCCCGGGUACUGACGCUGAGGUGCGAAAAGCGUGGGGAGCAAACUAGGGAGUUAAGAAGA